rnacentral:rRNA from 1 species
AUUGAACGCUGGCGGCAUGCUUUACACAUGCAAGUCGAACGGUAACAGGCCUUCGGUUGCUGACGAGUGGUGACCGGGGGCGUAAUGGUUCCGAAUGGGCCCCGUGGCGGGGGAAAACGCAUCGAAACCUGUGCUAAUACCGCAUGUGAUCUGAGAUUGAAAACGGGGGAGCAGGCAGGAAUGAUUGGCCUCGCGCCUUUGGUGCGGCCGAUGUCGGAUUAGCUAGUCGGUGGGGUAAAGGCCUACCAAGCCGACGAUCUGUAGCUGGUCUGAGAGGACGACCAGCCACACUGGGACUGAGACACGGCCCAGACUCCUACGGGAGGCAGCAGUGGGGAAUCUUCGACAAUGGGCGAAAGCCUGACCCAGCAAUGCCGCGUGAGUGAAGAAGGUCUUCGGGUUGUAAACCGCUUUUAUACGGAAAGAAAAGACUCUGGCGAAUACCUGCAGCUGAUGACGGUACCGUAAGAAAAAGCAACGGCUAACUACGUG